CAUGAAAAAUCAUCCCCUCGGGUUUCCGAGGUGGGUGGAAUUGGGUGUUGCCGUCUGGCUCGCCUUAAAGGUGUUAGUGGUUCGAAAGGUGAACCCGGCGUAAUAAGUUUCGCUGGACCAGCCCGGAAGACUGCUCAUAACCCGUCUUCUGACAUUUUUGCUCUGACCUCAAAUCAGGUAGGACUACCCGCUGAACUUAA
rnacentral:misc_RNA from 1 species